CCCUUAGACGUUCUGGGCCGCACGCGCGCUACACUGACCAGUGCAACAAGCAUCCGUCCUUGGCCGACAGGCUCGGGCAAUCUUUGAACGCUGGUCGUGAUGGGGAUAGACUUUUGCAAUUUUUGGUCUUCAACGAGGAAUUCCUAGUAAACGCAAGUCAUCAACUUGCAUUGAUUACGUCCCUGCCCUUUGUACACACCGCCCGUCGCUCCUACCGAUUGAAUGGUCCGGUGAAGCGUUCGGACCGUGGCCUUUGGACGGUUCGCCGUCUGUUGGCUGCGGGAAGUUCGUUAAACCUUAUCAUUUAGAGGAAGGAGAAGUCGUANCA
rnacentral:rRNA from 1 species